AGCCAGCUCUGACCUUGCCCUCCCUGAGGGAUCCUGUACUGAGCUGCCCCGAGGCCUUCACUACUCCCAGCUCGGGGCAGCUCAGUACAGGAUACGUCGGGGUGGGAACCAGCAGGAAGCAAGGCA
rnacentral:miRNA from 1 species